rnacentral:rRNA from 1 species
UACGUAGGGUGCGAGCGUUAAUCGGAAUUACUGGGCGUAAAGCGUGCGCAGGCGGUUAUGUAAGACAGAUGGGAAAUCCCCGGGCUCAACCUGGGAACUGCAUUUGUGACUGCAUAGCUAGAGUACGGCAGAGGGGGAUGGAAUUCCGCGUGUAGCAGUGAAAUGCGUAGAUAUGCGGAGGAACCCCGAUGGCGAAGGCAAUCCCCUGGGCCUGUACUGACGCUCAUGCACGAAAGCGUGGGGAGCAAACAGG